CGACCUCUGGACCCUGCAGAGAACCAGAACAACACACCUUUGCGUUCUAGACCCAGUCAGCAGUCAGCAUGCAGGAAACUACUCCUGUGCUGUCAAAACCCACAGCUCAAAUGAAAAGACUCUCACUGUUAAAGGGACAUCAAUGCCACUGAUUAAUGCAAUAAGACUGGCAGUUAUAUUACUGAUCCCAGUUCCACUACUUUUGUUCCACCUGUGGCUGAGGUGGACUCGCAGUGUGAGAACAUCUCAGUGAAUCCUUCAGCACAGAGAGAACCAGCAGACAGUAGGAAGACACUGUGUACCAUCUGGUCAUGUAUCUACGCCGAACACUGUGCACCGUGUGAAAAAAAUGCCUGUCUUUAUCAUUUAGGUAGAAUUUCAAGAAUUUCAUUAUACAACAGCAUAUAUAUUUAGUUGUACGUUUGAAAUCAUAUACUAUGUGAUCCAAGUGAAAACAUGAAUAUAACGUUAUUAAUAUUAGUUUGAUGGAUAUAUUGAGUUUGAUAGUAAGUCAGGACUUUGACUUUGUCAGUUUGUUGUGCAUUUCUUGUUUCCAGAGUGGCUAAAACAUUUAACGCAGCUUAAUUAUUUCAUUGGAAGGUUUGUAGUAAUUUUUACACUGUAAAAUUAAAAGACUAUAAAUAUAAUUUGUACUCAAACUACUAUAAUCAUUAUUAUUGAAAUACAAGUUCAUGGCUGAUCAUUGGUCUUUGUGAUGCUGCACAGAAAUGACCUGUUUUUAUUGAUCUUAUCCAUUGUGUUAACUCACACUACAUGUUUUAAUUGGCCUUUCUGCACAACCAGAACCUGUGAGCUUUAUGCUGACACUACGCUGCCACCCAAAGGCAGAGUG